AAUACAUCGGAACGUGCCCUGUAGUGGGGGAGUAACUAGUCGAAAGAUUAGCUAAUACCGCAUACGACCUGAGGGUGAAGUGGGGACCGCAAGGCCUCAUGCUAUAGGAGCGGCCGAUGUCUGAUUAGCUAGUUGGUGAGGUAAAGGCUCACCAAGGCGACGAUCAGUAGCUGGUCUGAGAGGACGAUCAGCCACACUGGGACUGAGACACGGCCCAGACUCCUACGGGAGGCAGCAGAC
rnacentral:rRNA from 1 species